rnacentral:rRNA from 1 species
UACGGGGGGAGCAAGCGUUGUUCGGAUUUACUGGGCGUAAAGGGCGCGUAGGCGGCGCAACAAGUCACUUGUGAAAUCUCCGGGCUUAACCCGGAGCGGUCAAGUGAUACUGUCGUGCUAGAGUGCGGAAGGGGCAACUGGAAUUCUCGGUGUAGCGGUGAAAUGCGUAGAUAUCGAGAGGAACACCUGCGGCGAAGGCGGGUUGCUGGGCCGACACUGACGCUGAGGCGCGAAAGCCAGGGGAGCGAACGGGAUUAGAAACCGUGUAGU